CCUUUUGAUUAGUGGCGAACGGGUGAGUAACACGUGGGCAACCUGCCCUUUAGACUGGGAUAACUUCGUGAAAAUGAAGCUAAAACCAGAUAAUAUCUAUUUUCUGUGGAUCAUAGAUCAAAGGAGGCUUCGGCUUCCACUUAAGGAUGGGUCUGCGUCUGAUUAGCUUGUUGGUGAGGUAAUGGCUCACCAAGGCUACGAUCAGUAGCUGGUCUGAGAGGAUGAUCAGUCACACUGGUACUGAGACACGGACCAGACUCC
rnacentral:rRNA from 1 species